UAUAUAUUUAAUUGUUUACCAUUUUCGUUAUGACACCACACGUGAAAAUGACUGCUACAAACCAAAUGACUUGCGGUGCAUCAGUACCGCAAAAGGUUGGUCAAUAAUGAAUAAUGUAAGUUUGUUGGGCUGGCGAAAAACAACCUCAAACCGAAGCGCAGCAUUCACAGGCUAGAGUCGGAAGGUGAAUGACAUAACUUUGCCACCCCCUAUGCGCCGUAACUCUCAGCGGGGUGAAUUUGGUCAAGGCUCCACAACUGACAGUGAGCUGAGACAUAUUGAGGAGGAAGCUGCUGCUGAUGAAGAUCAUUAUGUUUUAAUGGUAGUUACUGUUUACGAGGCUGAUAAGUUAGCUAUGGACAACAACAUAUACCAAAUAUUGAGAACACUAAUAGCCUCACAGGGACAACCUCAAGUAGAACAACAUAUUACAAUGACUUCCCAAGCCUUGACAGCUCAUCAGCAAAGGGUCUUCUCUGACAUUUCCAUUCCUUGUCCACCACGGAGCGCUCAGUCACUGCAGAGGCGGGCACUAUGGAGGUCCAGGCACAUCUUCUUCUUCACUCCUCAGGUGUUGGUGAACGACCUGUCUCGAGACACCUGCCCCACGCUGCUGGUCAGAAUGUUGACCCGGAGUCAUACAAAAUUGUGUGUUUCUCUAACUCCAACGAUUAAUCCACGGAUAAAAGGGGAAACCUAGUUAGUUUUUAGUUAUCUUUGAUGAAUCUCUCCUGGGUUUGUAUGCUCGUAUUAAAGGAACCCUGCAUUAAAGGAGUGGCCUCCCUUUUGACCCUGGGACAUGAUUUGUUUUGGUAUGCCUCCAUCUUGUGGCUGAGAUUUGUCAUUGCAGGAUUUUCUUUUUUUUUCUUCGCUUCUUGGAAGUACAUUUUCCUUCUGUGUGACAUGACUUAAUUCAUUAUAAUUCAUUCUAAAGAUAUAACAAAAAUCUACAUCCCAGGGUGCACUGGACACUCUUACUGACAGUUGUGGCUGCUUGCCCUUUGUGCUGUUGUCUGUGCCCUAUAAUGUUUGUACCAUGU